rnacentral:rRNA from 1 species
AAAUUGAAGAGUUUGAUCAUGGCUCAGAUUGAACGCUGGCGGCAGGCCUAACACAUGCAAGUCGAACGGUAACAGGAAUCAGCUUGCUGAUUCGCUGACGAGUGGCGGACGGGUGAGUAAUGUCUGGGAAACUGCCUGAUGGAGGGGGAUAACUACUGGAAACGGUAGCUAAUACCGCAUAAUGUCGCAAGACCAAAAAGGGGGACCUUCGGGCCUCUUGCCAUCAGAUGUGCCCAGAUGGGAUUAGCUUGUUGGUGGGGUAACGGCUCACCAAGGCGACGAUCCCUAGCUGGUCUGAGAGGAUGACCAGCCACACUGGAACUGAGACACGGUCCAGACUCCUACGGGAGGCAGCAGUGGGGAAUAUUGCACAAUGGGCGCAAGCCUGAUGCAGCCAUGCCGCGUGUAUGAAGAAGGCCUUCGGGUUGUAAAGUACUUUCAGCGGGGAGGAAGGGAGUAAAGUUAAUACCUUUGCUCAUUGACGUUAUCCGCAGAAGAAGCACCGGCUAACUCCGUGCCAGCAGCCGCGGUAAUACGGAGGGUGCAAGCGUUAAUCGGAAUUACUGGGCGUAAAGCGCACGCAGGCGGUUUGUUAAGUCAGAUGUGAAAUCCCCGGGCUCAACCUGGGAACUGCAUCUGAUACUGGCAAGCUUGAGUCUCGUAGAGGGGGGUAGAAUUCCAGGUGUAGCGGUGAAAUGCGUAGAGAUCUGGAGGAAUACCGGUGGCGAAGGCGGCCCCCUGGACGAAGACUGACGCUCAGGUGCGAAAGCGUGGGGAGCAAACAGGAUUAGAUACCCUGGUAGUCCACGCCGUAAACGAUGUCGACUUGGAGGUUGUGCCCUUGAGGCGUGGCUUCCGGAGCUAACGCGUUAAGUCGACCGCCUGGGGAGUACGGCCGCAAGGUUAAAACUCAAAUGAAUUGACGGGGGCCCGCACAAGCGGUGGAGCAUGUGGUUUAAUUCGAUGCAACGCGAAGAACCUUACCUGGUCUUGACAUCCACGGAAGUUUUCAGAGAUGAGAAUGUGCCUUCGGGAACCGUGAGACAGGUGCUGCAUGGCUGUCGUCAGCUCGUGUUGUGAAAUGUUGGGUUAAGUCCCGCAACGAGCGCAACCCUUAUCCUUUGUUGCCAGCGGUC